rnacentral:rRNA from 1 species
UACGUAGGUGGCAAGCGUUGUCCGGAUUUACUGGGCGUAAAGAGCGCGCAGGCGGUCGUUCAAGUCGCGUGUGAAAGCCCCCGGCUCAACUGGGGAGGGUCACGCGAUACUGAUCGACUCGAAGGCAGGAGAGGGUAGUGGAAUUCCCGGUGUAGUGGUGAAAUGCGUAGAUAUCGGGAGGAACACCGGUGGCGAAGGCGGUAUCCUGGACCAACACUGGCGCUGAGGAGCGAAAGUGUGGGGAGCGAACAGG